ACCUGCGUGGUGUAGCGGUUAACGCUGGUGUCUGAGAAUCUGUGGACGCGGGUUCGAUUCCGCGGGGGGUC